rnacentral:rRNA from 1 species
CUUACACAUGCAAGUCGAACGGGCUCUUCGGAGCUAGUGGCGGACGGGUGAGUAACGCGUGAGAAUCUGCCUUCAGGAGGGGGAUAACGACUGGAAACGGUCGCUAAUACCCCAUAUACCUCUGGGUGAAAAGUAAUUCGCCUGAAGAUGAGCUCGCGUCAGAUUAGCUAGUUGGUGGGGUAAGAGCCUACCAAGGCGACGAUCUGUAGCUGGUCUGAGAGGAUGAUCAGCCACACUGGGACUGAGACACGGCCCAGACUCCUACGGGAGGCAGCAGUGGGGAAUUUUCCGCAAUGGGCGCAAGCCUGACGGAGCAAGACCGCGUGGGGGAUGACGGCCUAAUGGUUGUAAACCCCUUUUCUCUGGGAAGAAGACUGACGGUACCAGAGGAAUCAGCCUCGGCUAACUCCGUGCCAGCAGCCGCGGUAAUACGGAGGAGGCAAGCGUUAUCCGGAAUUAUUGGGCGUAAAGCGUCCGUAGGUGGUUAUUCAAGUCUGCUGUCAAAGCGUGGGGCUCAACUCCAUAGAGGCAGUGGAAACUGAGUGAGUAGAGUGCGGUACGGGUCGAGGGAAUUCCCAGUGUAGCGGUGAACUGCGUAGAUAUUGGGAAGAACACCAGUG